rnacentral:tRNA from 2 species
GGGUGCGUAGCUCAGUUGGUAGAGCAGCGGACUGAAAAUCCGCGUGUCGGUGGUUCGAAUCCGCCUCUGGGCACCA